GAUGAACGCUGGCGGCGUGCUUAACACAUGCAAGUCGAACGGAAAGGCCCAAGCUUGCUUGGGUACUCGAGUGGCGAACGGGUGAGUAACACGUGGGUGAUCUGCCCUGCACUUCGGGAUAAGCCUGGGAAACUGGGUCUAAUACUGGAUAGGACCACUUCUUGGAUGGUGUGGUGGAAAGUUUUUUCGGUGUGGGAUGAGCUCGCGGCCUAUCAGCUUGUUGGUGGGGUAAUGGCCUACCAAGGCGUCGACGGGUAGCCGGCCUGAGAGGGUGUACGGCCACAUUGGGACUGAGAUACGGCCCAGACUCCUACGGGAGGCAGCAGUGGGGAAUAUUGCACAAUGGGCGCAAGCCUGAUGCAGCGACGCCGCGUGGGGGAUGACGGCCUUCGGGUUGUAAACUCCUUUCGCUAGGGACGAAGCGUUUUUGUGACGGUACCUGGAGAAGAAGCACCGGCUAACUACGU
rnacentral:rRNA from 1 species